rnacentral:sRNA from 1 species
AUGCGGGCCCUCUGCCCCAGCACCCACAUCUCAGGACACCCCUUCCUCCCAGGAAGAAGACCCCCAAGAGCAAAGGGGCCAGCACCCCCGCUGCCUCCACGCUGCCCACCGCCAACGGGGCCCGACCGGCGCGCUCCGGGACUGCGCUUUCCGGCCCCGACGCGCCGCCCAACGGGCCCUUGCAGCCCGGCCGGCCCUCGCUUGGCGGCGGUGUCGACUUCUACGACGUCGCCUUCAAGGUCAUGCUGGUGGGGGACUCGGGCGUGGGGAAGACCUGUCUGCUGGUGCGAUUCAAGGAUGGUGCUUUCCUGGCGGGGACCUUCAUCUCCACCGUAGGCAUUGACUUCCGGCAGGGUCUCACUCUGUCGCCCUGGCUGGAGUGCAGUGGUGAUCAUGGUGGACUGCAACCUCCAACUUCUGGGUUCAAGCCAUCCUGAGUCUUUCAAAUUAGCAAAAAGAGCUACUGGGAAGGCUGAGGCAUUGCAGCUCGUUAGUUCCUGCACCCGUGUGCAGAUGAGGAAACCGAGGCAGUGUCAAACAAAGUUCUGGACGUGGAUGGUGUGAAGGUGAAGCUGCAGAUGUGGGACACAGCUGGUCAGGAGCGGUUCCGCAGUGUUACCCAUGCCUACUACCGGGAUGCUCAUGCUCUGCUGCUGCUCUACGAUGUCACCAACAAGGCCUCCUUUGACAACAUCCAGGCCUGGCUGACCGAGAUCCACGAGUACGCCCAGCACGACGUGGCGCUCAUGCUGCUGGGGAACAAGGUGGGAGGCCUGGCUGUCCUCACCUGGGCCACAGGGCAGGGCAGGUGAGGGGGCAGGGGCCAACCAUGGGCCAGCUGUCACCAAGACCCUGUGCCUGGGCCAGGUGGACUCUGCCCAUGAGCGUGUGGUGAAGAGGGAGGACGGGGAGAAGCUGGCCAAGGUGAGUCAGGGCAGGGGGGUGGUGAGGGGGUGCCCCUGGAGGCUGCGAGCCUAGGCUGUCCCCGCCAGGCCACCACCUGGCUGGCAGCAGCUGUUUACAGGAGUAUGGACUGCCCUUCAUGGAGACCAGCGCCAAGACGGGCCUCAACGUGGACUUGGCCUUCACAGCCAUAGCAAAGGAGUUGAAGCAGCGCUCCAUGAAGGCUCCCAGCGAGCCGCGCUUCCGGCUGCAUGAUUACGUUAAGAGGGAGGGUCGAGGGGCCUCCUGCUGCCGCCCUUGAACCUGGCUGAGCUCAGUCCUCUGGAGGAAGCCGCCCAGCCCCUAGAAGGCUGGACAGAGGGUCUCCAGGCCCUUCUGACUUUGUUGCCCUGUGGCCAACGCCCGAGUGUCUGUUUUCAGGAGCCCCAGGUCAAGCCUUGUCCCUUCCUCCUCCCAGCAACAGUCCCGACAAGCAGGCUUCUGAGAGCCCGUGGCCGCACACUGGCCGCCACGGAAAAGCAGUCUUCUGCACGGGACGGGGAGCAGCAAGUGGACAGACUUUGCCACGGUGCUCUGCUGCCCCCUCCUGGGCACGUCCAGGUGAGGGAGGGCUGGGGCUGGCACCACGCACAGUGCCUAACCCUAGAAAAGCCAUGUCUUCAGCCGCACAUGCUCAGGCAGCUAAGGGAGGACGCCUGCCCACGCCUGGGACAGAAGGCUUCACUGCUAAUCACAUCGUGCAUCUGUGUGUCCUGGGAGCUGCCUGCUCCCCGCCCACCCUCUAGGAGGCUCUGGCUCAAACAGCAAUAGGGUCUUCCUCACUGACCUUGGAGGAUGCCUGUGGCCUUGUGAUAAAAUGUGGGAAAUCACAGAAAACACCAGAAACAACAACUGCCAGCCCGGCCACAGCUGAGGUCUGUGAUUUCCGAGCACGCUCCACCUUGCACUCAACUUGGCCUUUUGAUUGCAAGCCUUUGUUUUCAGUCCUAGUGAAUAAAGUUGUGUUUUCUGG